rnacentral:misc_RNA from 1 species
UACGGAGGGUGCAAACGUUGUUCGGAUUUACUGGGCGUAAAGAGGGUUUAGGCGGGCUUGCAAGUCAGGUGCGAAAGCCUCUGGCUCAACCAGAGAGGGCCGCUUGAUACUACAAGUCUUGAGUACCGGAGAGGUGGGUGGAAUUCCCAGUGUAGAGGUGAAAUUCGUAGAUAUUGGGAGGAACACCAGAGGCGAAAGCGACUCACUAACCGGUCACUGACGCUGACACCCGAAAGCGUGGGUAGCAAACAGG